UGGAAUAUCUCUGAGUGUUUCGAUAAGUGUCCGUAUAGGUGAAUUUGGAAGUCUUAUUGCCCAGUAUAGUUGUUGGAUCUUUGGUUGUGGUCGGUUCUGUCACAAUAGUGAUAUGAGCAUAGUCGUUAAAACCUACAAUCCUACAAUUUGUAUAAACCUACGAUCCUACAAUUCGAAGUGAAGAUCAAGAUCGGACCUUGCUGUUGAUUGAUGGGAUUUAAAUUGACAAUCUCUGUAACUCUUAUACGGAAAAAGAACUAAUGUCUCUUGCCCAAAUAUGGCUAGAUGGAAAUGAGACUUUUCAAACACAAUUGAUAGGGAUGGCAAUAUGGCACCUAUCAACAUGGCUAAUGGAUUUUUUUUUGAAAACUCAGAACCACAAUGGGAUGAGAUUCUGGAGAUUAUCAAGAUUAGAAUCGCUUUUUGGGUGAAAACGAAGUGAGAAACGAAUGACUUUUUUUUUAGGUAAGGGGGAACGAAUGACUUUAGCAUCAAUGACUUCAUCUAUAAGCUUAAGGCAACAAAUGAAUCUCUCUACUGGAGUUGGAGGGUAUGCUGUUGAAGUUGCAAGGCUUCGAUCAAGAGACUUUAUUGGUGUGUGUUGUGUAGCAGUGUGUGUGUGUGUGUGUUGUGCAUCAGUGAGUGUGACUGAAUGCGUGUGUGUUAUUUGUGGGUGCAUGUCUGUCUCAAUCUGUAAUUGAUCAUGAUUAGGGGAGUGUUGAGUUGUUUGUUAGCUUGAUUUGUCUGUUAAUGUUAUUUCAUUUCCAAGGCUCCUUAGAUCAAAUUAGGAGGUCUUAUGGCUCACUGAUUCUCAACUGCUGCUGCUGUUAUGUUACUGCUGCUGUGGAAAUCUGAAAUUCUGAUUUUUGCUAUUUUGGAUUUGGCUUGGAUAUCUUAUGGUAGUCUACUAUACCUCUUAGAGGCUUUCAAGCUAAGAAGGAAAUGGAGUGUUGCUAUUGUCAAAUCACUUCAUGAUACUCCAUUGCUGACAUUACUCCAUUCAACUUGUUACUGCUACACUACUGAGAAGCUUGAAGAUUUUAUAAUACAAGAAGUCUUACUUCUUCACAUCUCAGGAUCGGAACCUCCUGCAACGAUCAAGUGAUUCAUGCUUGUCCGGGGGUCUCAACGUAUUGUUUUGGAAGUUUCACAUUCCUUGUCUUACUCAGAGAGAACAAUUCUCACUUACAUAUAUAUUAGUUUUUGUUUUUUUUUGUUUCCUGUUUUUGUACAGAAACCAUGGCUCAACAUAAAUUUGAAAAUAUUUAGAGAUUUUUGUAUCACAUAGGGGUUCAAGAUUUCACCCUUGUGCUCACAGAAUUCCGAUAUUCUUUUCGCAUUAGGUACCACAUAUCAGAGCUUCUGCUGCUGAGGAUGCUGUUACGGCAAUCUGAGAUGAGUAUCAAUUUUUAAGAGAGAUAUUUGACGACUAUGAUACUGAAAUUUACGAGUUGGGAUCUUCCCCCCCAGCAUGACAAGAAAGAGAGAGCCCUCCCAGUUGAUAGUUCAGAGAUAGGAGGGAAAACCCACUGAAUCAGAGUCUCAGGGAAGAUUCACCAUAAAGAAUGCUUUACCUCUGACCGUCUGAUAUAUCAAAUGAGAGCUGCAACAGCAACAGCUCUUGGUGGUGCUGCUGCUCGUGCCAAGCUAUUGGCCGAUCAAGAAGACAGGGAAAUACAGUGUUUAGUUGCAACCAUUAUCGAAAGAUGUACAGAAUCUGUAGUAAAUUUCCUAUCGAAUUACUGUUUCUGCUGAUUCAGAGUUGUUUCUCUUCUAACAGCAGAACAAAGGGUUUAUUCAUCUUCGAACUACUGGAGUUCACUCUUCUGUCUCUCUCACUCAGCCUAGGCAGAUGCAGAACUUCCCUCUGGAACCCUUUACGCAAGUCGCACUAAGGUACUUCUCCUGCAAUGCUUUCUUGCAUUCGGCAACGCACUGAGAAAGAGUGCAUGGAUUGAGUUGAAUCCCAAAUGCACACUCAACGUGUUCUGGUGCAAGAACCAUGAACCAGAGCACCACCGUUGCCAACACCAGAACACACCGGUUCCCUGCCUUGACUUCCAUCGAUGGGCUAAGUUUCUUUGUUUUCAGCAACCCAAAUCUUUACGCCUUGAAGAAACGCAAUAAGGUCUGCACUUUUUUAUAUAAAGAGAUUGCUGGCCCUUAAUAGUUUCCCCACUAGCUGGAGAACUAUAUCACUUAUAUCAAAUUAGAUUGUGAGCCCAUUCACUACUUGUAUAUACUAUUAUAUAACCAUAUUCUGUGAGUUGGUUGCUUCCACGUACAUCCAACAAUCCUCCAUGGUUACUGGCUACUGAAUAUCAAUCAAUUAGAGACCAGCAGGUGGUAAUUACAGCAAGUCUGUGCAUUUCCAAACGCAAAUCCUCCAUCCAGUCUUCCUUACGACACUUGACGCGUUGACUUUGUUUCAGACACCGGAGUCGUAUGGUUACCGUUUCUAAUCAUUGAGAUCUGAAUCGGUACAUAAGCGUAGCGUUCAACACUUGACACGAUAACAAGAGAUUCAAGACGAUAAACAAGUGUUACAGGCCGCACCCGGUCUUGUGCCGUGGGUUCUCCUUUCACUCCUAUGUACUGUUGCAGUUAGGACUCUUGCAUAGUGGGUACAAAACGUAGAUACAACAGAAAUGUUAUGAUACAUGACACUCGAAACAUGAAAAUAUCUAUGAAAGAAAACGGGCGAUCCAGAUUUACAGAUACAAAUUUCCAAGUUUGUGUAAUGUUGAAUGUGGGGUGAUGAAAUCCCAUUUGGAGAAAAAAUUUGUAAAUAAUUGUGUUUGGACCCUUUGAUUCAUGCCAUCCAGAAGAGCUUGUUUAGUGGUUAAUAAUACCCACACUCACACACAUGCACCAUGACAAAGCAUGUAGGGACCUAUAAAUACUAAAUGGAAUUG